GGCCCUACGGGACGCAGCAGUGGGGAAUAUUGGGCAAUGGGCGCAAGCCUGACCCAGCAACGCCGCGUGAAGGAAGAAGGCUUUCGGGUUGUAAACUUCUUUUCUCAGGGACGAAGAAAGUGACGGUACCUGAGGAAUAAGCCACGGCUAACUACGUGCCAGCAGCCGCGGUAAUACGUAGGUGGCAAGCGCUAUCCGGAUUUAUUGGGUGUAAAGGGCGUGUAGGCGGGAACGCAAGUCAGAUGUGAAAACUCAGGGCUCAACCCUGAGCCUGCAUUUGACACUGUGUUUCUUGAGUGCUGGAG
rnacentral:rRNA from 1 species